UACGUAGGGGCAAGCGUUGUCCGGAUUUAUUGGGCGUAAAGAGCGUGUAGGCGGCCAGGUAGGUCUGCUGUGAAAACUCGAGGCUCAACCUCGAGACGCCGGUUGAAACCAUCAGGCUAGAGUCCGGAAGAGGAGAGUGGAAUUCCUGGUGUAGCGGUGAAAUGACGUAGAUAUCAGGAGGAACACCGGUGGUGUAGACGGCUCUCUGGACCGUAACUGACGCUGAGACACGAAGCGUGGGUAGCAAACAGG
rnacentral:rRNA from 1 species